GAGAGUAAAGAUUCUAGUUAGACUUUUGUACUUGAUCUUAAUCUGUUCUAAGGUCUUUUAGAACAAAUGUAACUCCCACUAUUUUCUCGAAUUCCUCACACUCCCCUGGUAGGAAAACGGAAAUCCCACACGACUAGGAUUUCUAGUGGGUACUGCGGUCCCACCGAUGUACAUGCCACCUCACCUAACAGUUAUUGGUGACACAUAGAUUGAUGAAUGUACAACUCUUGUACAAUGCUUCUCAAGCAUGUUGUAGUGUAACUUAGUCUUUAAGCCAUGAAAACCUCACCUAACAGUUGUUGGUCCCAUUUCUUAGUUAAGUCAGACCCACCGUAUAACCGUAGGAAUAAAGUCGUCAUUGGGUCCUCACCUAACAGUUAUUGGUGCCCAACCCCACCUUUACCCUACAACAUCUCAUGUCUAUAGAGAGGUCCAGCCCCCCGAU
rnacentral:lncRNA from 1 species